GUGUCAGCAGCCGCGGUAAUACGGAGGGUGCGAGCGUUAAUCGGAAUUACUGGGCGUAAAGCGCACGUAGGCGGUCGUGUAAGUCGGAUGUGAAAGCCCUGGGCUUAACCUGGGAACUGCAUUCGAUACUGCAUGGCUAGAGUAUGGGAGAGGGAAGCGGAAUUUCCGGUGUAGCGGUGAAAUGCGUAGAUAUCGGAAGGAACACCAAUGGCGAAGGCAGCUUCCUGGCCCAAUACUGACGCUCAGGUGCGAAAGCGUGGGGAUCAAACAGGAUUAGAUACCCUGGUAGUCCACGCUGUAAACGAUGAGAACUAGAUGUUGGGAGGGUUUUGCCUCUCAGUGUCGCAGCUAACGCGCUAAGUUCUCCGCCUGGGGAGUACGGCCGCAAGGUUGAA
rnacentral:rRNA from 1 species